CCGGCCCCCUUAGACGGAGGUGGUGGGUCUGGCUUCUCCUGGGGUUCGUCAUAGGGUAGAAAGUGUGAGAAGCUUGGACUGACUUGGGUUCAAAUUUUGUCUCUCACACUCCAGCUGUGUGCCUCUGGGCUAGUGACCUCACCUCUCUGAGCCUUGGUUUUCUCCUUUUGAAAAUGGGCAAAAUAAUACAUUGUACAGGUUAUGUGGUGAAUCAAGUUAGAUUAUAGUUAGAGAGUACGUAGUGAGGUUCUGGUUUAUAGUAAGUGCUCCACAAAUCCAGCAUCUCACUUCUUCCCCCCAACAGAGCAGUUGGGCAGGCAGGAAUCAGAAGCUCAGAGAGGCAAAGGGACUUGACUAAGGGUGCACAGCAAGUGAGCAAAAAGUGGGCACCUACUUCCUUCCCUGGGAAUUCCUGUCAUCACUCUUGUGAAAGGGCCCAGCCCAUUUCCCAAUAGAAGGUUGAGGCGCCUGUCCCCUGCCUGUUCCCAGCCACUCCAGGACAAUGGAGAGGAGAGGUGAUUGUAAAGGUGACCACAGCCACCGAUGUUUUAGAGCUCCUGCAGUGGCCAGGCCCCAUGCUCUGUCAGUGCGAUUUCACUUCAUUCUCCAGACAACCCUGGGAAAUAAGAACUGCUAUUAUCCUUCCCAUCUGAGAGUCAAAGGAAGAAACUGAGGAUCAGAGAAGUCAAGAAAUUUGGACAAAGCCCCCUAGCAGGAAAAGUGGUGGAGCUGGAACUGGAGCUGAGAUUUAAGUGUCUUGACUCCCUGGAUUUCCCGGGAUGACCCUGAAUCUGCAGGCCCAUAAUCAUCUCUGAUUCUCUUUGCUGGGCUCCACCACACCAGUGGGAAGAUGAUAGAGAUCUUCAGGGACCUGGAGAAGAGGGAAGCAACACAGCAGGACCUAUCUUUAAUCCAGCAACAGGUUCCAGAAUGUUCCAGAGGGCAGAGGAUCGGUGUCUUCUGGAGGCAGCAGGAUGUAGGACUCGCAUCCACGGGAGCCACGGAGGGUGUGCGAGGAGCUGGGCACAGAGCAGUUGAUGUUCCCUAGCCAUCAGGACCAGAGUAGAAAACCAGGCUGGUGAGUGCCUUCUUUCUCCCCGCGAAGACGUAACCUGGGCGUUUGCCCCCCAGGAAAAGGCUUCAGCCUAGUCUAGCAGAAUAGCUUUGAAAUCAGACAACCAAGACUCAAGUCCUGGCUCUGGCCCUCGCUGUGUGAUCUUGGAUAAGUCUCUUGGCCUCUCUGAGUCUCAGUUUCCUCAUCUGUAAUGUGGAAAUAGAGACCACACGACAGGGAUGCUGAGACCUUGAGCGACAUGUGAAGUCAAAUAAGCAGAUGCCAGUUUCUUUCCUUCCUUCUCCUCUCCUGGCCCUGAAGAAUCCAGCGCCCUGAGGGAUCCCCGGGGAGGGGGAGCAGAGCCUGCUGCUUCCAGCGUGGGAGUUCUUUGGGGUCCGUGGAUAGGUUUUACUGUGUUCAUGAACCCCUGAAAUAAUAACAAUAAUGCAUUUUUCUGGUUAGAAAGUCUACAGCUUUUAUCAAAUGCCCAAAGGGCUCCAUAAUGCCCCAAAACCAAGGACCACUGCUCUGAGGUUGGGUCUGGUCUCCUGUCCUGUGCUACCCCAGGCCCAGUCGUCAGGCCAUCUGCCAGCCUUGCUGGCCAUCGAGCCCUGGCCAGGACCUAGUUCUCAGGAGGGUGCAGCCCGGAUCUGGGCUGGUGCAGGGAACAAAGGGCCCAGGUGGAGGGGCCCUUCUGAAGGGCCACAGGGCUGUGCAUGUCACUCCUUCAAUCGUCCCUGAGCCCUGGGAUGCAAGAGCUGUUAUCAUCCCCACUUUGGAGGAGAGGAAACUGAGGCUCAGAGAAGGGGCGGGAGGGCACACAGCUAGAGGCAGUGUGGGAUUUGGACCCUGUGCCAGCUGAUUCUGGAGCCUGUGCUCUUUCCACGGUGGCACAGGGGACCCAGGCAGUCUUUGGGGGUCCCAAGAUGGGAAUAGGGCUGCAGGAUACAGCAAUUCGCUUGUACCCUGCCCAGGGCCCCUGGUUGAGGGAGCGCAUUGGAGAGUGAAAAGCAUCUUAAAGGCAGCCGAGUUCCACCAGCUGGGGCUUGCACCCAGGGCCGUCAAUAGCCUGGAGGAAGAGCAAGCUUUUGGGAAGGGUUGCACCCCGAGGGGUGCUCCUCUCUAAUUGGCUGCUCAGAGGGAUGCCUUUUUCUAGCUCCAACAAAGCCCCUAGAUGGGCUCCCUGCAAUCCUGGUGGAAACACGUUUUCAAAGGCGAGCAUGUUGGCGGGAACUGAGGCGCUCGGCCCAGCUUCUAAAAUGAUGCUUCUGAGUGGACUCCCGGGGGGCCAGGGCCUGGGAAGAGCCAGCUCAGCUUCAGCAGGUGGGAGACAGUGCCUGACACUCUCCCAGGCAGCCAGGGCCCAUGAGCAGGGGGCUUAGGACCCUGUGCAUUCUGCUCGGCUGCCCCCUCCAACCUCACCUCGCCCCCCGUCUCUCACCCCCGCUCACCAUGGGAAUCCCGGGCAUCGGAGGCGGGGCCCCAUCUGCCAUCAUUUUCCGAGCCGCGUUGAUCCAACGGUGCUAGCUUUCUAGGGAAGGGUGGGCAAGCCUUCCUGGUCCCCUAGAACGUCCCCCCAUCACUGGACAUCUGCCAGGAUGGGUGGCUGCUCCUCCCAGGCAGGCCCGAUGGCCACUUGUAAGGACUGACCACCAGGGGCCUCCAGCACCCAGCUUCCCUCUCUUCUCCUCUUCCCAACCCCCUCCCUGCCACCACCUCCAGCCUGAUUAAUUCCCCCAAAUCUGCCAUGCCACAAUGACUAAUCAGGCGCAUGCCCCACUAAUUGGCACUCAGAGACUUGACAAAUGGCUCUGCUUGCGGGAUUCUGGGGCUCAGCCGCCUUAACUUCCCACGCCCAAACGACCCCAGGUUUGCCCCUAAGAUAAGUGAGCUGGAACCUUGUUGGGGAGGGGGAGCAGAGGACCCAGGACAGAAGGGAAAGCCGCCACAACCCUCUGAUUAACUCAGCUCUGCCACUUCCUGGCUGUGUGACUUGGAGCAGAUUGUCUCCCUCUCUGAGCUCAGCCUUCAGGCUCCUGCCUUCUCUGAACUGGGCCUUGUCUCCAGCUUUAGCCCCUCAGGCCCCUUGUCCCCACCAUUCCAUCCAACCUGCCCAACAGAAGUGGCUUAGUCCCAGCUCUCUGGGG
ensembl:lncRNA